rnacentral:rRNA from 1 species
UACGUAGGGCGCAAGCGUUGUCCGGAAUUAUUGGGCGUAAAGAGCUCGUAGGCGGCUUGUCACGUCGGGUGUGAAAGCCCGGGGCUUAACCCCGGGUCUGCAUUCGAUACGGGCUAGCUAGAGUGUGGGAGAGGGAUGCGGAAUUCCAGGUGUAGCGGUGAAAUGCGUAGAUAUCUGGAGGAACACCGGUGGCGAAGGCGGCAUCCUGGACCAACACUGACACUGAGGAGCGAAAGCCAGGGGAGCAAACGGG